rnacentral:lncRNA from 14 species
AGGACUUUGAUGCUAAAGUCACCCUCAGUUCAGCUGCUUUCCUUCUUAGUACCUCUGCCUUAUGCAGAAUUGUCAUCUAAAAGAGAAAAAAAAAUGUAGAUGUAAAAUUGCAAAAGUUCUUUUCAGAGCUUUUUAUUAUAACAGAAGGUGCCAGUUCCCUAGGAGCAGGAUAUGUAAUGGUUUUGGAGAAAAUGAACAAAGAAGUAAAUCCCCAUGAAACUUGCGCUCUUGUAUUAAUGCAACUAGUAUUUUUUCUUUUUAAGGAUUUCUGGACUGUCUACAACAACAUUCUUCCUGUGACAAAUUUGCCUCCAAUGUGCAGUUACCAUUUAAUGCAAGGUGAAGGACAGACCCUUUGGCUACAAUUUGGGAAGAGCUACUGUUAGCAACUACUGGACAGCAGUUCACAGACUGGCUUGCAGCAGGAAGGGUCCAGAAGCCUGGCAAGGUUACGAGGUGAGCUCAGCCAGUGGUCAUCAAGAAGGUGCUCAAGGAUGGCAUCCUCUCAACAGAAAGCAAAGAAAACCAACUCUUCUAUGCUGGCUGGAAAAGACAUGGUGACCCAGACAGAGGUCCCUCAUAAACAUGUAUCUGUCCAGGUGUCUGGCUGUAGGGAGUGCCAGAGCCUGUUGGCGAUGUUGGAUAGUGGCUGUGUGAGGUGUCACUAGGUUGAUGAUUUUCUCUGCAUGGUGGCAGAGCUACAGGAAGAAAUGGAACAGCUAGAGGAACAUAAGGGAAUCUGAGGAGGAGAUGGCUCAGUCUACAUGGCACCAGGCCUGCUGCGCAGCAGGAAAAUCAUGACAGUCACCAUCACAGAAACAUGUGAUGUUUCCAGUCACUCCACAUGAUUGGAGUGCUGCAGUGGAUGGCUCAGGCUCUUCAGAAGGGACAGGCAAGGAAAAAGAGGUCAUGGGGUUGCACUGUAUGUCAGGGAGUAUAUUGACUGCCUUGAACUCGGAGUUGUGAGUGAGAAGGCUGAAAGUUUGUGGGUGAACAUCAGGGGGAAGGCCAACCAAGUAGGUGUCCUGAUAGAAGUCUGUGAUAGACCACCUAGCCAGGGUGAAGCUACAGACAAAGAAGCAUUCUUCAAGCAACUAGAAGUUUCAGAACCACUUGUCCUUGUUUUCAUGGGUGACUUUAACCUACAGAUGUCAGCUGGAAGUACAAUACAGCAGAGAAGAAACAAUCCGGGAGGUUCUUCUUUGCUUGUUUUUUUUUUAAUUCUUCAUUAUUUCUUUAAAAGGAUAUUUUGACCAAUUUUUUUCCACUCAGAUUGUGUUUGUUCCUGUUUCAUUAAGAUAGCAGGCUUUCUAUCUUUAAAGAUAGAAAGUACUAGAUAGAUACAGUACUUAUAUCCUGUGCUGAGUUAAAUGCAGAAGUGCACAAAGAUGGUAUGCUGCUUUUCCCAGACGUGCUAUAUGUAGAGGAAUACUGGCUUGGUGAAAUGUGUUUUCAAUUUUCAUUUUGAAACACUCCUGUUGUGCUACGAUUUACUCACUGGUUUUGUCCCAGGAGAGAAAGCACGCACACUGCAUUUAUUCUAAUAUUCAACAUAAUCUGGUCUUGCACUGACAACGGCACAUGUACUGUAAAUGUAAAUAGUCAAGUGUUCGCUAAACAAUUGACUAAAGAGAACAUGUUUAUAUUGGUACUAAUCCUGUCUGGGAUGAUGUUAUUGUGUUUUAAUUGCACUGAUUUCAGAAGAGCCCUCAUUCGUGGUAGCAUGCAAAAUCUUUCAGUAGGAAGCCCUGCAAACCCCACACCUCUUUUAUUUAAGAGAUGAGUGGUUUUAAUGGUUUCAUACUGUAUGCUUACUUAUUAUAUUUUUCUGUACAUUCAUGAAAAAGUGUCAUGAAUCAUUUCUAAUGCAUUAGACUGAUGCAUUAGAACUCCCCUCACACUUUGAGGAGAACAGCAGGCCUAUGUCUGCACCCACAAAGCUCAGUAUCAGAACUGCUGUUGACUUCAUUGCAAAGGAGGGGAUCCCACCCCAGGUAGUUUCAAGCCAGCAAGGCUUCAUAAGUGACCUUAAACAAAAUUACAGACAAUAAAUGGGUUUUGUGUUGCA